rnacentral:rRNA from 1 species
GCCAGCAGUCACAUCAUCCUGCAACGCACAGCUGGCAGCCCACUGAAGCUCAGCAGGUGUGAGCCUGGUCAGUACCUGGAUGGGAGACCUCCUGGGAAAAACUAAGGUUGCUGCUGGAA